rnacentral:lncRNA from 1 species
GUGCUUUUAUAUAUAUAUAUAUAUAUAUAUAUUAGAUUAUGAUACUUCAAUAAAAACAUAAAGACUUAUUGUAACUUAUUAUUAAUAUUUUGAUACAUGAAAUAUAAAUUUAAAAUACAGUUUAAAUAAUUAAUAUAAAUAACAUUUUAGAUAUUAAAAUAUAGCUGUAAUACCCAAUUUUGCCCGGGCCCAUUAAAACCCAAUUUGAAAUAAAACUAAGUGGGAGUCCAUAUUACAACCCAAAUUCGGCCUAAUAAGGCCCAAAUUGCUAGCCCUAGCCUGUUAGCCCAAAAGAACAUAGGGUAUAGCAGAAACCCUAAGCAGAUUGAAGCAAAUCGGUGCCGCAGCAACUGCCCACGACAUGGCAACGGUUUCCACCCACGUUCAGCAAUUCCCCACACCCACCAUGCACGUUCUUCACCUGCAACAAACCAUAAACAGCAUUAUAGGAUCGAAUAUACAGCAAAAAAAAGGGGGAAAAUUUGGUGGAUGCUUUCCGGUAAAGAUUGGCUAUAAAGUCAAUCGAUUUUUGUAAAAGGGGGUUACACACAUAUAUUGAAAAAGACUGAAAUACAAAAAAAAAAGAAUCAGAAANNNNN